rnacentral:rRNA from 1 species
GAUGAACGCUGGCGGCGUGCCUAAUACAUGCAAGUAGAACGCUGAAGCUUGGUGCUUGCACCGAGCGGAUGAGUUGCGAACGGGUGAGUAACGCGUAGGUAACCUGCCUGGUAGCGGGGGAUAACUAUUGGAAACGAUAGCUAAUACCGCAUGACAACAGUUAUUGCAUGAUAGCUGUUUAAAAGGGGCAAUUGCUCCACUACCAGAUGGACCUGCGUUGUAUUAGCUAGUUGGUGAGGUAACGGCUCACCAAGGCGACGAUACAUAGCCGACCUGAGAGGGUGAUCGGCCACACUGGGACUGAGACACGGCCCAGACUCCUACGGGAGGCAGCAGUAGGGAAUCUUCGGCAAUGGACGGAAGUCUGACCGAGCAACGCCGCGUGAGUGAAGAAGGUUUUCGGAUCGUAAAGCUCUGUUGUAAGAGAAGAACGAGUGUGAGAGUGGAAAGUUCACACUGUGACGGUAUCUUACCAGAAAGGGACGGCUA